rnacentral:rRNA from 1 species
AGUGAACGCUGGCGGUAGGCCUAACACAUGCAAGUCGAACGGCAGCACAGUAAGAGCUUGCUCUUACGGGUGGCGAGUGGCGGACGGGUGAGGAAUACAUCGGAAUCUACUUUUUCGUGGGGGAUAACGUAGGGAAACUUACGCUAAUACUGCAUACGACCUACGGGUGAAAGCAGGGGAUCUUCGGACCUUGCGCGAUUGAAUGAGCCGAUGUCGGAUUAGCUAGUUGGCGGGGUAAAGGCCCACCAAGGCGACGAUCCGUAGCUGGUCUGAGAGGAUGAUCAGCCACACCGGAACUGAGACACGGUCCAGACUCCUACGGGAGGCAGCAGUGGGGAAUAUUGGACAAUGGGCGCAAGCCUGAUCCAGCCAUACCGCGUGGGUGAAGAAGGCAUUCGGGUUGUAAAGCCCUUUUGUUGGGAAAGAAAAGCAGCAGGUUAAUACCCCGCUGUUCUGACGGUACCCAAAGAAUAAGCACCGGCUAACUUCGUG